AUCCAGAUCACCCUCAGCCGUAGAGAUUGCACCACCUCCCCAGCCAACAUGAAGCUGAUUUCCUUGUUGAUGGCCAUGGUUGUGGCCCUGUCCUGCUUCAUGGGAUCUGCUCUCGCCAUGCCCGAGCCCUAUGCCCUCCCUGACGCUGACGCCGUGGCAGAGGCCGAACCGUGGCGCUAUAGGCCCCAUGGGCACAUCUAUACCCACUACCAUAGGCCCUACGGACUCCACAGUCAUGUCUACUGGCACUAAGCAGUCACAGAAGGCAGUGUAGAAGACACAUUACCGCCAAUUAAGAUUUCUUUCUCUCUCUCGCCCUCUGCUUAUGUCUGUCAAAGUACCGAUAUCAAUGUGGAUACCUUUGUAAACUGAAUUUUCUACUUUUGUUCGUCAUGAUUUCUUCAAGAUAUUAACUAAACACUCAAAAUGUAUCUUGAGAAAGAAAUGGAGUUGCUACUUCUUUCCAAAUUAAAAGAUGUGCAAAAACA